rnacentral:rRNA from 1 species
AGUGAACGCUGGCGGUAGGCCUAACACAUGCAAGUCGAACGGCAGCACAGUAAGAGCUUGCUCUUACGGGUGGCGAGUGGCGGACGGGUGAGGAAUACAUCGGAAUCUACUUUUUCGUGGGGGAUAACGUAGGGAAACUUACGCUAAUACCGCAUACGACCUACGGGUGAAAGCAGGGGAUCUUCGGACCUUGCGCGAUUGAAUGAGCCGAUGUCGGAUUAGCUAGUUGGCGGGGUAAAGGCCCACCAAGGCGACGAUCCGUAGCUGGUCUGAGAGGAUGAUCCGCCACACUUGAACUGAGACACGGGCCAGACUCCUGCGGGAGGCCGCCGUGGGGAAUAUUGGACAAUGGGCGCAAGCCUGAUCCAGCCAUACCGCGUGGGUGAAGAAGGCCUUCGGGUUGUAAAGCCCUUUUGUUGGGAAAGAAAAGCAGCAGGUUAAUACCCCGCUGUUCUGACGGUACCCAAAGAAUAAGCACCGGCUAACUUCGUG